rnacentral:rRNA from 1 species
AACGAACGCUGGCGGCAUGCCUAACACAUGCAAGUCGAACGAAGGCUUCGGCCUUAGUGGCGCACGGGUGCGUAACGCGUGGGAAUCUGCCCUUUGCUUCGGAAUAACAGUUAGAAAUGACUGCUAAUACCGGAUGAUGUCGCAAGGCCAAAGAUUUAUCGGCAAAGGAUGAGCCCGCGUAGGAUUAGCUAGUUGGUGGGGUAAAGGCCUACCAAGGCGACGAUCCUUAGCUGGUCUGAGAGGAUGAUCAGCCACACUGGGACUGAGACAUGGCCCAGACUCCUACGGGAGGCAGCAGUGGGGAAUAUUGGACAAUGGGCGAAAGCCUGAUCCAGCAAUGCCGCGUGAGUGAUGAAGGCCUUAGGGUUGUAAAGCUCUUUUACCCGGGAUGAUAAUGACAGUACCGGGAGAAUAAGCUCCGGCUAACUCCGUG